CACCUACUCCCUCCGUUCGGAAUUACUUGUCGCGAAAAUGGAUGUAUCUAGACGUAUUUUAGUUCUAGAUACAUCCAUUUCCGAGACAAGUAAUUCCGAAUGGAGGGAGUACAAC
rnacentral:pre_miRNA from 1 species